UACGUAGGGUGCGAGCGUUGUCCGGAAUUAUUGGGCGUAAAGAGCUCGUAGGCGGUGUGUCGCGUCGGCCGUGAAAACCUGCAGCUUAACUGUGGGCUUGCGGUCGAUACGGGCAUCACUGGAGUUCGGCAGGGGAGACUGGAAUUCCUGGUGUAGCGGUGAAAUGCGUAGAUAUUGGGAGGAACACCAGUGGCGAAGGCGGCUCACUGGACCGGUACUGACGCUGAUGCGCGAAAGCGUGGGGAGCAAACGGG
rnacentral:rRNA from 1 species